CACGCAUUGUGACAACAACAACAACAACAAAUAUGGCGGAAUCUGUAUUGUCAAACACGGAAGAAGAAGGAUACAACCAUAAUUAAACCAAGAAGUUUAUGAAGAAGGGAUCACUGGAAUUUGUCACUUUGGUACAAGAAACAGAAAAGGAUAUCAUAGACCACCUUACUUAUACGGAAGCAUAGGAGCUGUUGAAGGAGCCAGACAGUCAACAGUUAUCACUGACAGCCUGUCCUGGCCCAGCUGGGACCAUCCUCAAGCUAACCAUGAUGAUGUGUUUGCAAGAAUUGUCCAUUUGGUAGAACAUGAUGAAGAAGAGCUUUGUUGUGGCAUGGCCUGACAAUACUGUACAAGCCAGAGACCAAAAAAGGGUUAAGUGGUGACUGAUCCUCUCACCCUCAUUAUCCAGGAAACGUUUCAGAACAACGUGUUGGCACUGAAGAUGUGGAGGACACAGAUUGAUCACAGUACAUCCUUUGGAUACAUGAACACCUUCAACGGGACGACAACAAAACUGUACCUGCCUUUUUUUUGAAAAGAAGUAGUUAAUAAAAUUAUUGUUAACAGCUUUUUUAGUCUUGUUGUUUAAGAAUGCUUGCAACAUUUAAGUGGAUAAACGGUUGUUUUAAAUUUGAAGCUUCAGUAAUGCAUUCUUUAUUAAAUGAUGUAAUCUUAUUUCUUUCAAUAUAGUGUAAGUAAUAAGAACAUAAUUAUCCUUUGUAUACAAAAUGAAAACCAAGUUUACUGUUCUAUUAAUCAUUAUUUAUUUAUCUUGUUCUUUUGUCAGAAAUAUUACAGGGGCAUACAUACAGUAUUCCUUAAAUAAAAGGGGCAGUUCUUAGAAAAUUAACAUGUAUUUUAGUAAUGCAUAUUCAAACUUUUUCCACAUUUAUAACCAGCAACAAUAUGUAAGUAUUAUAAUGUAACACAAAUUAAUACUAUGAAUUUACUACUGAUUUUGCCGUGCCUGUCAUCAAAUAAACAUGUUUUACUGAAAGUUUCUUAAAAGAUGUUAUGUGGAAGACUUAAUUAAUCAUUUAAUAAAUAUUUGAGCCUCGCUCUUGGAAAAGGGGGUUUAAUGCAUGUACUUAAGGUUUUCCAAGAUUAGGCUGUGCAGACUGCACAGGCUAAUCAGGGGCAACACUUUCCGCCUUAUCUGGAUUUUCUCUCUCCCUUUCAACAAAAAAUACAAUAAGGCAUCAAUUGUCUGCCUGAUUGGUAUGAUCAGCACAUGUUAAUCUCGUACGACAAUUUAUGCACAUGCAUUAAGCCCCAUUUUCCCAGGGCAAGGCUCACCUAUUUAGGUUUUAGCUGUCUAUAUGCUCUUUAACUUUUGAAUCAUGAUGCAGUUUCAUAUAAUAAUCAGGGAUCAUAUUUUCCCGCAACAUCAAUCGGUCCGGAUAUAAAUGGGGAAAAGUAUCCGAAAAUGUGUGUCCGAAAUCAUGACAAAUUACGUUAAAAUAUAUACCAUUGAUUUUGCCAAUCAUGAAGGUGGUAUAAUACAUGUACAAGUAAAAUUUCCUUCGGCAUUUUUUUAAACGGAACGAGUUUUACUGGCUUUAUCAUUUGGUAUUUCAUUGUUGUUUCGUGUGAUGUUUUAACAGACUUUUUUCAUCGUUGUCAAUAUUAUUAAUCUGUGUAAGUCGAUGUUUUUAAUUGUUGUUGACUCGAUAAUAUCUUACCAACAUGCACUGAACCAAACAAAUGUCUGUGCGUAGGUUGGCUACUGACAACAACAAACCAAAUAAUUAAGAAAUAAUUUGUUGUCAAAUAACCCACGUACGAUAGUUAAGAUGAGUAUGGAUUUAAUCACGAGAGCGAAGCAUUUGAAACCACGCAUCUGAUUUUCCGGUCGUGAGUUAUUCAACAACAAAGUAUUAAGUACACGAAUUAUUUUGAUUCUAACACGGUUUUACUAAAGAUUUAUUCAAUGUUUAUUAUUUUUCUUGUGUACUAUUUUAUGUGAAGUAAAUAAAAAUAACUUUCGGCUGUUCUGUUGAUCAGAUCCGCGACUUUCAUGCAUAAUUACAUUACCGGAUUAUUACGCUGGUGGAAAAUGUAUCGGCAUGUUUUGUUUAGUUACAGCGCGUGCAUUCAGACGCGUCUUUUCGGAUGCGUCUUUAAUCCGCUGUUCACGAGUUUUUGAUUCUUGGUCUGACGUGCAAUAAACCGGCCCUGACCGGUUUAGAGACUGCAGCGAAUGGUUUAUCACACCUACUUGAGAAAAGAAUGUCAUUAGGGUGUGUUAGCAUGUACACUGUGUAAUCGAUUUCAUGACAUGGCAAUUUUAAUAGCAAACAGAAUCGGACCGACUGUUUGGGAUUUUCAAUCGGUCUUUCAUGACCCCAAUCGGUCUAGGACCGUCAAAACCGAAAAAAAUAUGAUCCCUGAUAAUAAUGUAUUAUGAGUCGUUUUUAAUUGAUGCAUAUUCUUUUGUUCAGUGUUGAACUCAACAUGUAUUAUAAUAAGGUGUUCACUUAACAUUCUUGCAGUAAUGUUUUGCUGUGUAAUAUACAUGUAAUAAUAAAUCAAAAUUGAACAACUA